UCUUCCUGCCGUGUGACUGGCGUUUCCUCCCUAAACUCGGGCCGCACCUUCGGUGUGGCCCUUUUUUUUGUUGUAU
rnacentral:sRNA from 1 species